rnacentral:rRNA from 1 species
UAUCAACUCCCCCUGUGCCGCAGUUAACACAAUAAGUAUCCCGCCUGGGGAGUACGGUCGCAAGAUUAAAACUCAAAGGAAUUGACGGGGGCCCGCACAAGCAGCGGAGCAUGUGGUUUAAUUCGAAGCAACGCGAAGAACCUUACCUGGACUUGACAUCCCUUGCAUAGCCUAGAGAUAGGUGAAGCCCUUCGGGGCAAGGAGACAGGUGGUGCAUGGUUGUCGUCAGCUCGUGUCGUGAGAUGUUAGGUUAAGUCCUGCAACGAGCGCAACCCUUGUUAUUAGUUGCUACCAUUAAGUUGAGCACUCUAAUGAGACUGCCUGGGUAACCAGGAGGAAGGUGGGGAUGACGUCAAAUCAUCAUGCCCCUUAUGUCCAGGGCUACACACGUGCUACAAUGGUAGGUACAAUAAGAGGCAAGACCGUGAGGUGGAGCAAAACUUAUAAAACCUAUCUCAGUUCGGAUUGUAGGCUGCAACUCGCCUACAUGAAGCUGGAGUUGCUAGUAAUCGCGAAUCAGAAUGUCGCGGUGAAUACGUUCCCGGGCCUUGUACACACCGCCCGUCACACCAUGAGAGCUGGUAACACCCGAAGUCCGUGAGGUAACCGUAAGGAGCCAGCGGCCGAAGGUGGGAUUAGUGAUUGGGGUGAAGUCGUAACAAGGUAACCGUAAAC